UGGAUACUGUACUGGAGUGUUUGUGGAGUCACACUUGUAACCUGUUGUGUCUGUGAGACAAAGCAAGUGAACUUCUGGGCCCUUCAGAGGGUUUCCUCUCCUGGGAGCCCAAAUGCCAUUAUUUUUUCUUUUCUAGGUGGAAAAGGAGGAUCCUAUGUUCCAGCUGCAGGCAAUGACAGUGCCCAGGGCUCAGACGUGUCUCUCACAGCCACAGCUUGAGAAAAUGGCCUUGUGUGGAGCUGAGGAAAAAUCCUGGAGAUAUUCAAGGCUGCAUUUUCUGUCUUGUUCCUGUUGGCCUCUGGCCUCUCUCCUCCUCACUGGCCCUGGAGAUCAUCACUUGUGGGAAGCCAAUAAAAGAAUAGAUAAAAAUCUGA